rnacentral:rRNA from 1 species
GACGAACGCUGGCGGCGUGCUUAACACAUGCAAGUCGAACGGAAAGGCCCUGCUUUUGUGGGGUGCUCGAGUGGCGAACGGGUGAGUAACACGUGAGUAACCUGCCCUUGACUUUGGGAUAACUUCAGGAAACUGGGGCUAAUACCGGAUAGGAGCUCCUGCUGCAUGGUGGGGGUUGGAAAGUUUCGGCGGUUGGGGAUGGACUCGCGGCUUAUCAGCUUGUUGGUGGGGUAGUGGCUUACCAAGGCUUUGACGGGUAGCCGGCCUGAGAGGGUGACCGGCCACAUUGGGACUGAGAGACGGCGCAGAGUCCUACGGGAGGCAGCAGUGGGGAAUAUUGCACAAUGGGCGGAAGCCUGAUGCAGCAACGCCGCGUGCGGGAGGACGGCCUUCGGGUUGUAAACCGCUUUAGCCUGUGACGAAGCGUGAGUGACGGUAAUGGGUAAAGAAGCACCGGCUAACUACGUG